UCAGAUGGUAGAGAAUCUGCCUUCAAAGGAGAAGACCCAGGUUCAAUCCCUGGGUCCGGAA
rnacentral:tRNA from 1 species